rnacentral:rRNA from 1 species
UACGGGGGAUGCAAGCGUUAUCCGGAAUCAUUGGGCGUAAAGCGCCUGUAGGUUGUUUAAUAAGUCUGUUGUUAAAGCCUAGGGCUUAACCCUAGAAAAGCAAUGGAAACUAAUAGACUAGAGUAUGGCAGGGGUAGAGGGAAUUUCUAGUGUAGCGGUGAAAUGCGUAGAUAUUAGAAAGAACACCAGUGGCGAAAGCGCUCUACUGGACCAUUACUGACACUCAGAGGCGAAAGCUAGGGUAGCAAAAGGGAUUAGAUACCCCUGUAGUCCUAGCCGUAAACGAUGGAUACUAGAUGUUGUGCGUAAAGUACAGUAUCAUAGCUAACGCGUUAAGUAUCCCGCCUGGGGAGUACGCUCGCAAGGGUG